ACGCUAUCCGGAAGUCGCGAUUUUCGAAGCGAGGAUUUCAAACUGGCUAACAGAACGGUUUUGUUUUGGUGCUUUUUUUCAUCAUUUGUUUACUCCUAUAUCUAUUAAGUGCUUUGCACAUCUUAAAAGUAUGUAUAGCAUCAUAAAUAUGAGUAACUGUAACAAAAACAUGCAGUAGAAUAUGAAAUAUACGUGUGCAUCACGCCAACUUCAUAGAAAAAAGUGAAAUCGAUUGACAAUUUUGCUCUCGUAGUACAAAGCAACUAAUCUUUUAUUGCAAAUAUUUGCAUCAGUUUACAGUUAAAUAUAUACUGUUUCAAUAUUCUUACCGUAUUUAAGUACUGAGAAUGUUCGUAUUUCAAAUAAAAAAUAUGCUUUCCUUGAGGAUCCCAAAAUAAAUUACUGUACGAUCAGUCUAAAACUGACUGUAUUCUAGAAGCGAUUUCAGAUUUUUUGUCUGUAUGACCAGUCGUGAUUUUGAAGAAAAAAAAACCGGCAAUUUGAAGGUAUAUACGUGUCUAAGUGAUAUUAUGAUUGUGUCCAUGGAACUAUAACGUGUAAAUUCUUUCAUCAGACAAUUACAAAUAUAUUUCUGAUGAUUUUUGUAGACGGCAAAAUAAUUAUAUUUUUUUCCUGUCAGUCUUACUUAAAAUCAAAUGCCUAAAAAGCAAUACAUGAUUCGCUUGUGGACCUUUGUGUCGUUGCAGUUAUCUGUUUAACGAUUACAUUUUUAAAGACUAUUUACACCGUCUGCUGUUGACAAAUUGGUGAUAACAUACAUCAAGCCUGUCUCUUUUAAAAUGACAAAAAAAUAAAUAGAGAAAGCUUUGUUUAAAAACUUUCGGUAUUGAGGAAAGAAUUAACGAAAUUAUACCCCGCCACUUCUAUAGUCCAUGUUUUGGAAAAAAAAAUAAACCACCAAAAAAACUAAAUUAUAGGUGCACAGGGGCAUCAUUUAAUAACGAAUAUGAGGAAGUUUUAUUAAUAUAUGGUAAGUUUUUGAAAUUUGCGUAUAGUAAACGGGUACCACCCAAUAAGGUAGUGGAAAAGUCCUUAUCAUGGAAAUAGAAAACUGGUGAAUUUUCGAAAAAUCAAAAUAAGAGGUUCACAAUUGAAUUUAAUGAUAAGGAAUCUGGAAAAAAAAGAUUCAUUAAGUUAUGACAAGUGUCUGAAGGAAGUGUAGGAUAUAAAAUAGGUUCGCCCAAUAUAAGGUUAUGACAAAGUCCGUAUUUUAGAUAUAAAAAUAUCAAAAACAUUUUUACCAAAAAUUCGAAAUAGAAGGUCCAUAAUACGUUAAUUGAUUAAAAAUGAAGCAAUUUUACAAAAGUUUAACAGUUGGUUUUGGAGGUCAAGGUUGGAAAUACCUGAUGGGUGCCCCCAUAUAAUGCAAUGUUCAAGACCGUAUCUUGAAAACCCAUAAAAGAUUUUUAAUAAAAUUCGAAAUACAUUCCGUUUUUUUAUAUAAAUAAGACCGUUAAUUUUCUCGUUUGAAUUGUUUUACAUUGUCAUUUCGGGGCCUUUUAUUGCUGACUUUGUGGUAUUGGCUUUGCUUAUCAUGUGUGACCUAUAUUUGUUAAUGACUUUUCUCCUGGAUUGGACCUCCUCUCUAUUUAAAAAUGUUUGGAAACCCCAAUGUAAAUUAAGUGGUUUAUGAGGAGAUGCGCUUACAAAACCGGCGAAACAUGUUGUACCGGUCCAACGGACGAACGGAAAGACGGACUUCAUUACCACUAUAAACCACCGCUUUACAAAGUGGUGUACAAUUGAGUGUGAAAGAGACAGAUCUACAUCCAAAACAAAGUGAAAGAACUGUGAUCAAUUAUAGGCUACAGUACGGCCUCGAUUGUUUGUAAAUACAUGCAUUUUUAUAUAACAAUUAAAUAAAAAUACAAUUUUAAGUAUAACGGAGGACAUUUUUGAAUUUUAUAUAAACAAAAAAACCUUUCUCUUAUUUCAGCAACAUUCAAUAAAAUUGAGAAUGGAAAUGGGGAAUGUGUCAAAGAGACAACAACCCGACCAAAUAAAAUACAACAGCAGAGGGUCACCAACAGGUCUUCAAUGUAGCGAGAAAUUCCCGCACCCGGAGGCGUCCUUCAGCUGGCCCCUAAACAAAUAUAUACUAGUCCAGUGAUAAUGAACGCCAUACUAAUUUCCAAAUUGUACACAAGAAACUAAAAUUAAAAUAAUACAAGAC
rnacentral:lncRNA from 1 species